rnacentral:rRNA from 1 species
AACGUAGGACACAAGCGUUAUCCGGAAUUACUGGGCGUAAAGGGAGUGCAGGCGGUUGCGUAAGUUAGGCGUGAAAGACUUCGGCUAAACCGGGGGAGGUCGUCUGAUACUGCGGGACUAGAGUGCAGAAGGGGCAACUGGAAUUCUCGGUGUAGCGGUGAAAUGCGUAGAUAUCGAGAGGAACACCUGCGGCGAAGGCGGGUCUCUGGGCCGAUACUGACGCUGAGGAGCGAAAGCGUGGGGAGCGAACAGG